UACGUAGGUGGCAAGCGUUAUCCGGAAUUAUUGGGCGUAAAGGGCUCGUAGGCGGCCAACUAAGUCCGACGUGAAAUCCCCAGGCUUAACCUGGGAACUGCGUCGGAUACUGGAUGGCUUGAAUCCGGGAGAGGGAUGCGGAAUUCCAGGUGUAGCGGUGAAAUGCGUAGAUAUCUGGAGGAACACCGGUGGCGAAGGCGGCAUCCUGGACCGGCAUUGACGCUGAGGAGCGAAAGCCAGGGGAGCAAACGGG
rnacentral:rRNA from 1 species